rnacentral:rRNA from 1 species
UGGAAGGGGUGUAUUUAUUAGAUUAAAAACCAAUGCCCUUCGGGGCUCUCUGGUGAUUCAUAAUAACUUCUCGAAUCGCACGGCCUUGCGCCGGCGAUGGUUCAUUCAAAUUUCUGCCCUAUCAACUUUCGACGACUGGGUCUUGGCCAGCCAUGGUGACAACGGGUAACGGAGGGUUAGGGCUCGACCCCGGAGAAGGAGCCUGAGAAACGGCUACUACAUCCAAGGAAGGCACCAGGCGCGCAAAUUACCCAAUCCCGACACGGGGAGGUAGUGACACUAAAUACUGAUACAGGGCUCUUUCGGGUCUUGUAAUUCGAAUGAGUACAAUUUAAAUCCCUUAACGAGGAACAAUUGGAGGGCAAGUCUGGUGCCAGCAGCCGCAUUAAUUCCAGCUCCAAUAGCGUAUAUUAAAGUUGUUGAGGUUAAAAAGUUCGUAGUUGAACCUUGGGCCUAGCCGGCCGGUCCGCCUCACCGCGUGCACUGGCUCGGCUGGGUCUUUCCUUCUCGAGAACCGCAUGCCCUUCACUGGGUGUGCCGGGGAACCAGGACUUUUAC